rnacentral:rRNA from 1 species
UGGGGAAUAUUGGACAAUGCGGGAAACCGUGAUCCAGCAAUGCCGCGUGAGUGAUGAAGGCCUUAGGGUUGUAAAGCUCUUUUACCAGGGAUGAUAAUGACAGUACCUGGAGAAUAAGCUCCGGCUAACUCCGUGCCAGCAGCCGCGGUAAUACGGAGGGAGCUAGCGUUGUUCGGAAUUACUGGGCGUAAAGGGCGCGUAGGCGGCCUGUUAAGUUGGAUGUGAAAGCCCGGGGCUCAACCUCGGAACGGCAUCCGAUACUGGCGGGCUCGAGACCGGGAGAGGAGGGUGGAAUACCCAGUGUAGAGGUGAAAUUCGUAGAUAUUGGGUGGAACACCGGUGGCGAAAGCGGCUCUCUGGCCCGGUUCUGACGCUGAGGCGCGAAAGCGUGGGGAGCAAACAGGAUUAGAUACCCGUGUAGUCC